AAACGUUUAAAGCGUCACAGACACCGAGACUGGAUCAUCAAUCACCAUAUAAAAAAGAAUCUGUGUUUACAGCUCCAGAUCAACCAUGUCAAUCACGAUCCAUGAAUCACAGAUGAGUGGUAAGAUGCAGCGUGAGCUUCAACAGGUCGCUCUUCAGGCUGCGAAUAAGUACACACAGGAUAACGACAUUGUUCACUACAUCAAGAAGGAGUUUGACAUAAGGCAUGGGGGCUACUGGGACUGCGUUGUGGGGUUUGCUGGUCACAACGUGCAGUAUGAAGCGAACAGUUACAUCCACUUCUCUGUUGGCAACACAAGAAUUACACUCUUCAAAUCUGCCUGAGAUUUAGCA